GGACCCGCACAAGCGGUGGAGUAUGUGGUUUAAUUCGAUGCAACACGAAGAACCUUACCAGGGUUUGAAAUCAUUUCAAAACUCCUUGAAAGAGGAGCCUCCUUCGGGAUGAAAUGACAGGUGGUGCAUGGCUGUCGUCAGCUCGUGUUGUGAAAUGUCGAGUUAAGUCUCGUAACGAGCGCAACCCAUGUCUCUUGUUGCUCACUGAGUGCUUAAGAGAGACUGCCGACCAACAUCGGAGGAAGGUGUGGAUGAUGUCAAGUCAGCAUGCCCCUUACAUCCUGGGGCUACACACGUACUACAAUGGUUAGGACAAAGAGAUGCGACCUCGCGAGAGUAAGCC
rnacentral:rRNA from 1 species